rnacentral:rRNA from 1 species
CAGUAGCCGCGGUAAUACAGAGGGUGCGAGCGUUAAUCGGAUUUACUGGGCGUAAAGCGUGCGUAGGUGGCCAAUUAAGUCAAAUGUGAAAUCCCCGAGCUUAACUUGGGAAUUGCAUUCGAUACUGGUUGGCUAGAGUAUGGGAGAGGAUGGUAGAAUUCCAGGUGUAGCGGUGAAAUGCGUAGAGAUCUGGAGGAAUACCGAUGGCGAAGGCAGCCAUCUGGCCUAAUACUGACACUGAGGUACGAAAGCAUGGGGAGCAAACAGAAUUAGAUACCCCCGUAGUCCCUGUCUCUUAUAC